rnacentral:lncRNA from 10 species
UAGAGACCCAAAAUUUCAUUUGGUUAAUGUUAAGCUGUGACAAAAUCCAGAAGUUUCCAAGUUAAGGAUGAAGUUUAACAAUGUCUGUCUUUUAUUUCAACUCAGAUCCAUAUGUGUAUGAGAAGAAGAGCAGUUAUAUUCCAGGAAAAAAAAAAAAAACAUUUAUCAUGGCCUUGAUGUGCUUUUACCUAGAGCUUUUACGUAAGUUAUUGGAUUUAGUUCUUCACAGCAAUUUUUAAGGUAGGUAUUAUCAGCUCUAUUUUUAGUUAAAAACCUGAAUAUCAGGGAUAUCAAGUAACUUGUCCAUGUUCCCAGGACCAGUAAGUAGUAGAGCCAAGAUCUGAACCCAGAUCUGCUGGCUCCAAAGCCUGGGUUCUUCCCUUGCACAAUGCUGACCAAAACCUACUAGCACAAUUUCAGUUUUUGCUCUCAUAUAUGUAAAGUAAAAGUAAGGCUGCUCCAUACAGAAUCUUAGUCUGUGUACUGUACAGCUCCAAGAGGUGCCAUGGAAUUGUGCAACCGAGGUGGCCUUUAGUAAAAACAUAGUAUGAUAUGGCUGUUCUGGGGGCUUUCCAGUCCUCUAAAUCCUCUAGGUAAGGUCUUUCCACAAGACAGUGGCAGGCAAUGGAAAAAGCAGCCCACUGAUGGAUUCCAGAAUUAUCUCAGCGUGGCAUAACAAAUGGGGCAUACAGAAGUGGGGAGAUGUGUGUGCUAAUUCUCAUGCUGAAAUUAAUUCACUGGCUCACCUGAACCUUAGGUUAGCAAAAGGUCCUCACUGGUUCAGUUUCCUCACCUGAGCAAUGAAUGAGAGUGGACUCAAUUACUGGAUUUCAAGAUUGCUUUUAGGUUGUAGAAAUCUUACGCAGAAAUGCAAUGCACAAAGCAGGCAAAUGCAAAGGUGGGGACUGGGAAGAAGGAACUUGGAGCCUGCUUACUCACUCAGCUCCCUCCUCCUUUCCAACCUGCACCUCUGAACACAGCUGGCCAAAGCUGGCACUUGAUGAUCUUUCCAUAUCUAAAAAUCCUAAUAUUUUAUAGUUCUGUGCAGAUUAUCCAUGUUCUGAGUAACUGCAGUGAAUUGCUCUCAGUGAAUUACCUAAACUGCUUGUGAGGGACCAAGUCUAGUGUGAGAGAAAUAUCUACACAGAGCAGAACACUGAAUGUGUCAGUGCCAAUGAAUAAUGCUUUAUCCAGUUGAGUUUCAACCUGAAACAUGAAACCCCAGCAGUGAGCCCAUCAGGGGUUCACUGGAAAAUACGUGCACAGCCAACCUCCAGAGCCCCACAAUGGGUUUUGUUGUGUAGCAAUGGGGGUGAGGGGGGAAAGGAGGAGGAGGGAAUCCAAGGGAACAAUGUCUAUUGCUUCAGCCAAAGGACUUAAUAAUUAGCUGUGACUAACAAAUACCACAUGGGAACCAACUUGUAAAAAAAUGUCCCACAAAGCACCCUAUUGCCAGUGGGCCAAUUUGAGCCUGCAACCUCUCCCCUUCUAGGGAGAGAUUAGAAAACUAGAAGGAAGGAGAGCAACUCCAUCUGCCUGAAGCCACUGGACCAAAGACUCAGAUGGAUGGAAGCUGGGGAUGCUUUCAAAGCACCCUCCCCCUUGCUCUUGAAAUUGUAAGCACUUGGCCUCCCUGGGCUGAAAUUCCAGGGGCAGGGGCUAAGGGAGUUAACAUAGGCAGAACUUACUCCAAACAAUGUCAAUACAAAACAGGUUUUCUUUAUGGAAGCAAGUUAGGACGAAAUCGCUGAAAAGGUCAUCUGUGUUUGCAGUACACAGUACGGUGGUGCAGGCAGAAGGGAGGUGCCAAGCCAUAAAUCCAGGGAGGCUUGGACAGGUGAAUAGCAAUUUACUCCCCCACAAACUUCAGUGGGGGCUGGGUGCGUCCUAGGAAAGCAGGAUUUGGAAACAGGAAGUUGGUGCCUGUUAUCCUCAGGUGGGCUACUCAGGGUCACAGCCCUGGUGUUACAAAUCAACGUCCACAAAUUUUCAAUGCACAGACAGGUCCUGAGCUGGCUGCAUCAAAAAGACUUGGGUUCUUAUUACUAUAGUCUUCUGGGCACCUUCUGCAGGGAUUACAGCUUGGAAGCCUUGGGGCAGCUGUGCUCGGAUUUGGCACAGAAGCUGUGAAGGGGAAAGUGCAAAGAUCACAUAGCACCCAGACUUUAGGAGCUGGCAGGUUGGCUGUGCCAGUUAGCGUAACGAGCACCUGCAGGCUCUUUAAAAGUUAGCCAUUCUUAUUUUGAAGGCAACGGUUAAGAGCAUGGAUUAUGGAGUCAAACAGACCCAAGUUCAAGUUCCAGACUGGCCAAUUAUUGGCUUCUCUGGACUUCAGUUUUUACAAAUAAAAACAGAAUGUUUGCCUAUGUGGAUAAAGUGAAUGAACUUUUGUAAAAUUUUUGGCACAGAGGGUUAAUGUACAGCUUUUAAUUUACAUAUGAUAUAUAUUAACACAUACAUGUAUGUGUGUGUACAUAUAUACAUACACAGAGAGAAUUGCUCACAUUAUUUUUUUCUUCCUAGAAUUUCCCAAGCCAUGGUCCAUCAAAUCAUAGACCCUCCUGCUCCAGACUUUUGAAAGUCCCCAAUGCAUAGGCAAGCAUUUCUAGAUGGCUAGACAGAGCCUGAUUUCCUCUGGCUGAUUACUUAUUAAAAGGUACUUCCUCAGUUCACUUUUGAGUGGAAGUUUUUCAGAAAGCCAUUCGCUCACUCGCUCACUUGCUCGCUCCCUCACUGGCUCAGUCUUGCAUGGACAAUCCUGUGGAAUGCAAGAGCACAGGGCAAAACGGUUAGUCAAGGCUGCUUAGCCAGCUAGUACAGGUGGUCAGAUUUUGACAAGAUCUUAAAUUGGGGAAGUUCAGACAAGCGGUUACUUUGGGUCCUUGGAAUAUUUAUAAUAGGGGGUGAAGAGAGGUUCACCGAAGGAAUUGACAAGCUACUAAUUAAUGCCAUCACUGCUGCCUGGCACCUCUAUUAAGCAAAACUCAGAAACCGGGAGCCAAUUUUCACAUACGCUUUCUUUUCUAAAUGGUAGCCCUUCUGAAUUGCAACCUUCUUCACGCCUGGCACUCCCAGCCGCCAUCGGCCCCUCUCCGACUGCACAUCACACCAGGUCCAAGAGAAGCUAAUUUAACCACCGCUGGUUAAAAUCAUACUGCACUUCACAGCGCCUUUCACAUGCCAUGAAGCUGUCAUGAUAAUUCUUGAUCUCUAGCUCACCUGACAGCUCAGCCCUCCCUUGACUGCAAAGCUUCCCCGUCAGUUAGAAAUAGCAGUUUUCCUGGCACCAGAUGUGUCAUCUUGAAUAUCCAGAUGAAAGGCAGACACCUGGCCCCUGCUCCCUCCCCUCCCUGCCUCGUUUUCCCUUCUUAGCUCUGGAUUUUGUUUAGGAAGGCCAUGUACCACCCCACCCCCAACUCCCAAGUCCCUCCUCUGGGCAGCCUGGAAGUUCCUCUUCUGCACAAUUCAAAAGAUGUCUUGCAUUAGCCCACAGAGCAACUUCACACCUUGUGCAGCAAAGAGACACACACACACCAAUUGACAUCGCUAGGAGAGGGAAGGAAAACUUAACAUCAGGGCAAGAUUUCCACCCCUUUGCAGCUGCUUGGGAAGCCUGGCUAGCCCAAACCACCAGCCCAGCUGCCUCCAAAGGGUAGUGCUGGCUUCUCUCUCACCAGCUGUCUGAUCCCAUCUCUUCACUACGACUUUGUAGCUUGGUCUUUCGUUAUGAGAUCCUUGGGAUGAAAAGAGAUAUUGUUUUGAUAAAGGGCAGGCCUGGGUGAAUAAUGUGGUCUGUGUGUCAUGGACAGGAAAGGAACAAAUUGUGCCUGAGGUGGUCACCUGAGCCCCAUGAGCUACUCAUGGGGGCUUCUUAAACCCAGGCAGCACACGUGGACAUCUUUACAAACACACCCGCUGUGUCCCUUUUUUGUAACUAAUAAAGAACAAGUGUCAGCAUUAAGCCUCUGUUACCGAUUUUCUUUUCCUCUGCUGGAAAGGAGGUGGUGUAAGCAGAGUUUACUGUAGAAACCAAGAAACAAAAGACAACAUGACCAGUUUUCGAACUUGGCGUGCUCUGAAUUAUUAAAAAUAAUCUUAUAGUGUCCGCCCAGCCCUCUCAAGCAUACCUGCCUUUAAUCUUGUAAACAAGUUCAUAGCAGGAAGGGGAAUAUUUUCAAUCUGUUUCCUUCUACAUGGCUGUAAGAAACAUGACGCCCAUCCAUCAUGCAAAGAGAGCCUGACGAGGCAGAGGAAAGAUCAUGGCAGGACUUCUGUCUUGGUGGACAGGGCAUUAUCAAGGGGAUAUACAGUUGGGGAGCAUUUUACUAGCAAGAAAGCCUGCUACCUGCAAAAUAGACCCAAAGGGGACAAUUGAUAAGUGGACAAUAAAAUACCAUACAGCCAUUAAACAUAAGGUCAAUUGGAAACUCAAUGAGUCUGGCUCACUACUGUGUCCCCAUCACCUGGCACAGAGAAGAUGUGUAUUUGUCAGCUGAAUUAAGAAUGAAUGUUCAUGAAGAGUUUGUAAGUUCAUGAGAAAAUUCCUUGAUGGUCAGUGGAAAAGUAAAGUAUUACCUUUCGUGUAUCAGUAUGAAUUCAAACAUGUAAAAAAUGCUUUGAAGAAAAAGAAACAGACGGACAUGCCUAAUGGUUAGGUUAUCUCUGGGGGUGAAGGGAGAGGGGAAAGAUUAUGGGUGAUGUGAAUUUUUUUCCCUUUCUAUUUCUUUUUUUAUUUAACUUUUUCUAUAAUGACUAUAUAUCAUUUGGAAGAAAAAUUAUUCAAUGUAAAACUCUCCAGAUGGCUAAAUGCAAGUGGAGCAUGGAUGGAAGAAUUUGGAGAAUUCAACAUCUACUUCGACUCUACUUUUUCUAAGAUGUAGGAUGUGGAUACCAAAGAAUUGAGUAGAUCUGUCACAAAGCAAUGGAAGAUGACAUUUGAUAUGGGUGGGCCAACUGCGAAUAAAAAGAAGACGUUCACUUGGGAGAUAGAAAAGAGAAGUUCUAGUCAUGACUUUUCCAAUUUACUUGCUAUAUAACCUUGAAUAAGUACCCUCUCUGAAUUCCUGUCUCCUUACCUGUGGAAUGAAGACAAAAAUUCCUAAGGCUCUAGCAAGAUUGUCAAACAAAGGCCUAUAUGUGUGAGUUGCAAAUAAAAGGAAAGCACCUUCUGAUAAGUGUCUUCUAAUUCCCAUGUCAUUUCUUGUCCCUGUGGCCUGUUUGUGCUGUUUGAAAGCUCGGGGGAAUUGGAAUAAGUGACAAGGAGGUCAGAUGUAAGUUAAAGUGUUAGCCCCCAUUUAUCUACCAUUUUGGCUCUAAACGACUAGUUUCAGUCCAGACCGAUUUAGUAAAGUGAGAAAACUGUGACUGCAAACUGGCAGUACACACAAUCAGAGGAAUGAGUAAAAAGCUUAGACUGCCCUUCAAUUCAGAGGUUAAAGCAAGCACACAGACCCGGUGUCUCCCUCACUGUGUGCCAGCCAACCAUAUAUUAUUAAUUGGGCUCAACAAACAUUAUUGAGCACCUUCUACUGCAAAACUCUGGCAGGGCGCUCUGGGGAGAUCUAAAUGCAAUGUGAGGCAAUGCCCCACUCUUCACCAACCUGCCAUCUGGUUGGGAUAACAAGAUCAUCACAGGCAAAACUGUUCUCCCAUAUCUCUGCCCAUUAAAAUUUCACUGAGCCCUCAAGGCUCAAUUCAUAAUUAGAUUUUCCCCAAGAAGCUUUCCCCAAUCCCCUCAGCCCUUUGUUUAAUCCUCAUUUCUGGAAUUUGUCAUGCUCUGCAUUAUAACUUGCUUGUGUGUG